GAAUGCCAGGGACAGAGGAGCCUGGCGGACUACAGUCCAUGGGGUCGCAGAGAGUCAAACAGGGCUGAGCAGCAGCAGCAUCCUGCUCACUGAUGAGCAUCUUAGGUGGGUGUUGGAAUACACUCAACACCGCUCACUCUCUGGUCAUUUCCAACAGGCAACUGGCCCAGGAGCGAGGACGGCAAGACAUGAAAGAGAUGACAGCUUGGACCCAAUGAGGUGGGAAGGGACUCAGGAUAAAUGUCACUUCCUGCUCUACCUGGCCAGGACAGCUUGGCCACUUCACACACAUACACACACAUGCGUGCGCACGUGCACGCGCAUGCGCGCGCGCACACACACACGCGGCUCUCUUCCUCCGGAGCUGGACCUGCUCCUGGCCCCUUCGCACCCCUACUUCCUGAGGCUCGGGACACAGGGAAGGUGUCAGCAAAAGUCUCCCUGCCUCAGAAGAAGCCGUGGAACCUGAUGGUCAGAGAGCGUGGCAUCGACUCAGUGCAGCCAGCUAAAGCCAGACCGCACGGAUGAGGGAGGAGAUGGCAAGAUGACAGCGGGCAAGUCCCACGAAACAGGCUGGAGGGAAAUGCACCCAGUCUGUUUCCCUCCUGCUGCUGCUGCUGCUACUGCUGCUAAGUCUCUUCAGUCGGGUCCGACUCUGUGCGACCCCAUAGACAGCAGCCCACCAGGCCCUGCCGUCCCUGGGAUUCUCCAGGCAAGAA